rnacentral:lncRNA from 1 species
AUGGACUCCAGAUUUUCAAGAACUGGACCUGCAACCCAGAAGAGCUUGUCAGGAUGUGGCAGGAAUUCUGGAGUCCUGUGCCUCCUGAUUGCUGAGUGUUCGCCUGGACCUUCUGACCACCUUCCUUCUGCUAGACCAUCAGCCUACAGACCUGGUACCUGGAUUUUUGCUCAUGGUGAUUC